GGAGCCUGCGGUUUAAUCGGACUCAACGCCGGGAAACUCACCAGAUAAGACAGCUGAAUGAUAGUCGGGCUGAAGACUCUACUUGACUAGCUGAGAGGAGGUGCAUGGCCGUCGUCAGUUCGUACUGUGAAGCAUCCUGUUAAGUCAGGCAACGAGCGAGACCCACGCCAACAGUUGCCAGCUCGUCCUCCGGGAUGGUGGGGACACUGUUGGGACCGCCUCUGCUAAAGAGGAGGAAGGAAUGGGCAACGGUAGGUCAGCAUGCCCCGAAUUAUCUGGGCUACACGCGGGCUACAAUGGGUGGGACAAUGGGUAUCGACACCGAAAGGUGAAGGCAAUCUCCUAAACCCAUCCGUAGUUCGGAUUGUGGGCUGCAACUCGCCCACAUGAAGCUGGAAUCUGUAGUAAUCGUGUCUCAAAAUGGCACGGUGAAUAUGUCCCUGCUCCUU
rnacentral:rRNA from 1 species